rnacentral:lncRNA from 1 species
CUCAUUCCUUUGGGGUGUUGCGGAGGAGGGGAGUGAGGGGCUGAGAUUGCGGCCCCCCCCUUCCCUCCUUUCCCCCCCGUUAUGGCCCAACGGAGAUCCGGGACCCCCUCCCGGUGUCACCACUCACCAGGACCUGCCCUCCUCACCCCCCCGGGGGCUGAGCCGCUGGGAGACUCUGCUGCACCGCUCCGGACCCAUCAGCCCGCACUGCUCCCGCACCAUCAGGGAUUGGAGGAAGUCGGACCCCUCGUGCC